rnacentral:rRNA from 1 species
UACGUAGGGUGCAAGCGUUGUCCGGAAUUAUUGGGCGUAAAGAGCUCGUAGGCGGUUUGUCACGUCGGCCGUGAAAACUCGGGGCUCAACCCCGAGCCUGCGGUCGAUACGGGCAGACUAGAGUGCUGUAGGGGAGACUGGAAUUCCUGGUGUAGCGGUGAAAUGCGCAGAUAUCAGGAAGAACACCAAUGGCGAAGGCAGCUCUCUGGGACGGUACUGACGCUGAGACGCGAAAGCGUGGGGAGCGAACAGG